rnacentral:tRNA from 1 species
CGGGGAUUAGCGCAGUUGGUAGCGCGCUUGUUUCGGGAGCAAGAGGUCACGCGUUCGAGUCGCGUAUCCCCGACCA